rnacentral:misc_RNA from 1 species
CCUGUGUUGCUUACCCACGGAAAGGAAUUCGACGGUUUUGCUGUCCCCAUCCGCCUUGAGCCCUUCGGGGUGCGGGGUGGACGUGAGGCGGGCUCCGUGUUCCCGGCGUGUCUAGCGCUCUGACGCUCGGCCGCCGCGGCCCAUGGGGUCUCCGCCCGUGCUCUCGGAUGCGGAAUGCUACGUGUGGGCGUGAGGUCUCGACCUCUGCUCGUCCAAGCUACACGCAUUGUCCCUUGACGCGAACGACCGCCGUGCCCGUCUUGAUCGGCCGACCGGGCUCCCGCAGCGGGGCUUCGGGAGGGCGGCUCAUGCGGGCGUCGGCGUCGAAGAGGAAUGC